CGUUUGGAUAUAAUUUUCCCAAAAAACGUUAUUUACAUUUCUAAGACUUUAAGACUAUCAUUGUACCUCUUCGUUGUGCUCACUUUUUUGGCAGCUCCUUAGCGACUGGGGGUGACUAGCUAACUUCACUCCACCUGCCAUACACAACCAGCUUGAGGGUUGUAGUAGCUAGCAAAGCAAUAUCAUUAGUCAGAGAUGUGUGUUUAGAAAACAGUUGCCAAAAAAAAACUGUUCAUCUCUAAAGAACUUCUCCCAUCUUCCUCCUCCAGAUCUAACAAUAAUGCAGUUAAACACAGAAAUAUGUUUUUUAAAAGCUAAAGUUGGGGUCCGUUUCACUGGGACUUUAAGACUAUCGUGCACCUACUUCUUUAUUGUGCUCAGUCUUUUGGCAGCUCCUCAAAUAGUUUCAAGACAGACUUUAUCAUUAUUUCUUAUCCCAAAUGAGUUCUUUCAUAAAGCUUUGAAUUAAUCUCCUGAUAUUGGCUUGUUUACCAGCUGCUUGUGAUGGAAUCUCAUGGCACUGUCCCAACUGCUUUUUUAUUAGGAGGAAGCCAGGGCUGUUAGGUGCCGGUGCAAUUGCCAGUAAGCCAGUGAAGAGUCUUAACUUGUUAAAUGGGGCGAUGCCGUGACCAUCAAUUCAGCCACCCACUUUGCCUUUAUGCUCUGCUAAUGUAUUGGCACUGUCAGUGCUAGGAUAGGAGUUAAUACUGAGCGGGAAGACAGCUGCUUCCUGUCAAGCCCAGAUUUGUACACCUUAAUACAGUUUGAUAAGCAAGUUUAAACUGAGAGCUGAGCCGGUUUCUAACCCUGGAUGGUCAUUUGAGGAUGUCAGUUAUGAAAGCCACCUGAUAGCUAGCCCCUGGAGCCCUUCCUCUUCCGUUUACCCGCUCUCCUAAUCCGCCGCUAAUGGUUAGCAAUGGAGGCCCAGAGGAAGAUUCAACCGUUGGUGUGUGGAAAUCCCUGCUGGAGUGGGAGUGUCGCGCUUGAGGAAGUACUCAGUGAAGCGCGCCAGAGACAGCGACGGGACCCUCAUGCCAUGUGCACCAAAACGCUCAAGCUUACAGUAUGGGAUGCCACACAGCAGCAGCAGCAAGAGCACAUGUCGGAGGGGGAAAAUGCUUGGCUGCAGUGCCCUCUUGUGGCAGCUGGUGGAACUUGUGUUCUGGAAACUUUGGAGAAGUCCUCAAAGAGAGCAGCUCCAAGGAGUGUCUGAAGUUGAGCUCAG
rnacentral:lncRNA from 15 species